CCCUUGGUGGGGAAUAACUAGUCGAAAGAUUAGCUAAUACCGCAUAAUGCAGCGGCUCGAUAUCGAGACAGUUGUUAAAGCAGCAAUGCGCCUAAGGAGGAGCCUGCGUCUGAUUAGCUUGUUGGUGAGGUAAUGGCUCACCAAGGCUGCGAUCAGUAGCUGGUCUGAGAGGACGGCCAGCCACAAUGGCACUGAAACACGGGCCAU
rnacentral:rRNA from 1 species